CUCGCAGGCGCAGCCAACCUGUUUUGGCGGGCCCAAUUCAGCACCAGGAGCGGACAUCAUUGCUGUACGCCAUCGUUGAGGUCUAUGGAGAAUCCAGUGAGACCAUGGUCCAAAGACAGAGCUAAUUCACUGCAGCGGUCAAAAUAGUUCGUACUUUAUCUCAGUAUAUCUCUUGACUGGAUUGAAAUUCCAACACAGUCAAUAAGAGUAUUUCAUUUAUCUUUAUGAAAUACUAAUUACCAAUAAAAAAAAGUUUUAAAUGUAAUAGAACUAUGGUGAAACGAUCAAGAAGGCUGAAGUAUAUCUUAUGUGUACAUAAUGUUAGCCAAAGUGAAGAUAAAAUGUUUUCCCCCACAAAGAAAAC